AAUGAACGCUGGCGGCAUGCCUAACACAUGCAAGUCGAGCGAGCGGCGCACGGGUGAGUCAUGUCUGGGAAACUGCUAUAUGGCGGGGGUAAACUACUGGAACCGGUGCCUAAUACCGCAUACCUUCCGAUGUGCCCAGAUGGGAUUAGCUAGUAGGUGGGGUAAAGGCUCACCUAGGCGACGAUCCCUAGCUGGUCUGAGAGGUUGACCGGCCACACGGGAACUGAGACACGGUCCAGACUCCUACGGGAGGCAGCAGUGGGGAAUAUUGCACAAUGGGCGCAAGCCUGAUGGAGCAAUGCCGCGUGAGUGAAGAAGGCCUUCGGGUUGUAAAGCACUUUUAGCGAGGAGGCGUUACUCGCAGAAGAAGCACCGGCUAACUACGUGCCAGCAGCCGCGGUAAUUC
rnacentral:rRNA from 1 species